UUAAAGAGUUCUAUAACUCCCAAACCCAUGUGAACAUACCUAACGUUGCCUCGGCAGGUCGCACCUACCUUGUAGCACCUUACCCUGUAAGGCCUACCCGGGAGGUGCGGGUAAGCCUGCCGGCGGCCCACCAAACUCUGUUUGAUAUUGAAUUCUGAACCUAUAACUAAAUAAGUUAAAACUUUCAACAACGGAUCUCUUGGUUCUGGCAUCGAUGAAGAACGCAGCGAAAUGCGAUAAGUAAUGUGAAUUGCAGAAUUCAGUGAAUCAUCGAAUCUUUGAACGCAUAUUGCGCCCAUUAGUAUUCUAGUGGGCAGGACCGUUCGAGCGUCAUUUCAACCCUUAAGCCUUCGUUGCUUAGUGUUGGGAGCCUACGGCAACGUAGCUCCUCAAAGUUAGUGGCGGAGUUGGUUCACACUCUAGACGUAGUAAUUUUUUAUCUCGCCUAUUAGUUGAACUAAUACCCUGCCGUAAAACCCCCAAUUUAUCAAGGUUGACCUCGAAUCGGUUCAGACAAACUCGCUAAAUUGAAGCAUCUUAGUCAGCGAAGGAAAAGAAACCA
rnacentral:rRNA from 1 species